rnacentral:rRNA from 1 species
GACGAACGCUGGCGGCGUGCCUAAUACAUGCAAGUCGAGCGGACGAAUCGAAAGCUUGCUUUUGAGUCGUUAGCGGCGGACGGGUGAGUAACACGUGGGCAACCUGCCCUGUAGACGGGGAUAACACCGGGAAACCGGUGCUAAUACCGGAUAACACUAAGUACCGCAUGGCUUUUCGUUGAAAGACGGUCUAGCUGGUCCUUACAGAUGGGUCCGCGGUGCAUUAGCUAGUUGGUAAGGUAACGGCUUACCAAGGCGACGAUGCCUAGCCGACCUGAGAGGGUGAUCGGCCACACUGGGACUGAGACACGGCCCAGACUCCUACGGGAGGCAGCAGUAGGGAAUCUUCCGCAAUGGACGAAAGUCUGACGGAGCAACGCCGCGUGAGCGAAGAAGGCCUUCGGGUCGUAAAGCUCUGUUGUUAGGGAAGAACAAGUAUCGCAGUAACUGGCGUUAUCGUGACGGUACCUAACGAGAAAGCCACGGCUAACUACGUG